GAGCCCAUUCAGCCACACUGGGAGAGAAACCACUCAACUACCGGGGGUGGGAGACCACCCUUAUGUCCAUUCUCUGCUGAGAGCUGUUCCGUCACUGGAUAAAAUUAUUCUCUGCCCUUCUCACCCUUCAAUUGACAGCAUAUCCUCAUUCUUCUUGGAUGUGGGACAAGAGCUUGAGAACUGCGAAACACAGGAUCCCCUGAAAUGCUGGGCACACUGACUAGCCUCUUGUAUAGAGUCUCAAGCCUGUGGCCAGAAGCAGCUGUGUGAAGUAGCCGCUGUGAUGGAUUGGGACCACAGAUACCACUUUGGAAGGAAAGGUUCCAGAAACCAAAGCUUGGGCCAUGGGUCUCUGGGAAACUGCAGCAGGAGUUUAGAGUCUAAUGGAUGGAACACAGAAGCAGGAAAAAAAUUGCUGUAGAAUAUGAUAAAGAUUAAUAGAGGAGUCUGCAAUAAAGACUGACAGAUUGGAAAGAUACUUAAAAAACAAAUCAGCAGGACUUAGCAGGUUAUUGAAUGUGGGAUGCUGGCAAUUUUAAGGAAAAAAUAGUGUUCACGGUACUCCUUUGUAAGUAUAGACAUGCCUCUGCAGAGAACCAUUUUUCUGAAAUUGAUAUAUACAGAUAAAUUGCAAUGGAUAGCUUGCUAGCUAUUUGGAGAAGUCACCUGGAAAAGUCAUAUUGCAAUUUAAAUAUCAUAACGAUGGAGUAUAAAGUUUGGACUGG
rnacentral:lncRNA from 10 species